rnacentral:tmRNA from 2 species
GGGGUCGAUUUGGUUUCGACUUCGCGAACUGAGCCAGGGGAAGCGUGCCGGUGAAGGCGAUCGACCACCGUAAGCGUCGACGCAACCCUAUAAGCGCCGAGAACACUCAGCGCGACUACGCCCUCGCUGCCUAAGCAGCGACCGCGUGUCUGUCGGCCUAGGUUUGUCUCUGACCUAGCAACCGGCAACGACUAAAGAGACUUACCGUACGGCCGGGUUGCUCGGGCCGUUCGGGAAACUUUAGAGCAACUGGGCUCAUCAUCCGGACUGGUUCGCAAGAUCCGGAGGGCCGAGUAGAGAUAACUGCGGACUGCGCACGGAGAAGCCCUGGCAACGUCGCGAAGGACCCGGGUUCAAUUCCCGGCGGCUCCACAA